AUGGUGUAGCACUUAACACAUUUAACUGGCAAGUAAAAGGUUGCUGGUUUGAUUCCAGCU
rnacentral:tRNA from 1 species